rfam:Triticum aestivum genome assembly, contig: Triticum_aestivum_CS42_TGACv1_scaffold_322731_4BL
UGCUUACUCCCUCCGCCGAAAAUACUUGUCGAAGAAAUAGAUAAAAAUGAAUGUAUCUAGAAUCAAAAUACAUCUAGAUAUAUCCAUUUCUCCGACAAGUAUUUCUAGACGGAGGGAGUGCCAU